ensembl:lncRNA
CCGAGUUGGAAUAGUUAAUCCUGGGUCAUUCUGGGAUCCUAGGUUUUCUUGCAUCAUGUUUCACACUGCUCAUAAUUUUACCGGUUAGGAUUAACAAUUAAUCCUGCAUUUUCAUAAACUGACGUUUCACACUGUAUACCCCUAAACUCCGGGUUAACAUUCUUAUUUGCAUAAUUUGCUGUGUCAAUGUCAUUGACUGGACGAACACACCACUUUACAUGUUUACAUAAUGACUCUACUAUUGCACAUUUUCAUAUUAUUGCAGUUUGUACUAUCAAGUAGACCUAUUUGUAAAUGACCUUUUCAUGGGACAAUAAAGGUAAGAAUAAAAAAGACUAUUCUUCACUUCAAUUCCCGUAUUUUCCAUCACCAUUUGACAAAUGCUAGAACAAAAAUAGUCAGGGGCUUUAGUGUAAAGCUAGGAUAGGCAAUUUUCUAUAAUGUUUAAUGCAAUGAUAGGAUGUCCUACUUGCCUGUCAACCUAUGUAUUUGCAUCUCUCCACCCAGCCAAUAGCGAGAGUUUUGGGCAUGGCUACUGUAGCAGACUGAGCCACAGGAUGUUUGGCAGCAAGAAAUUCAGAAGAUUCUGUUACAGAAGUCUAAGCAAAAUUCAUAUCCAUUAAACUAAAGGCCUUAAUGACAUCAUCCAGGAAGUGACAUCACUUUGGAGGGAAAACAAUAGCACAAACAUAUGUAAGUAUGAGCAAUAGAUGUGAAGCAGUCUGUGGUAUUUAGUUUUACAUUAAUUUACAUUAGCAUUAAUGUUAAUCACACAAUAAAAGAAAAAGGGAAUCACUCGCUGCCCCUGAUUGAACUGCUUUUGUAGUUUUAGUAAUUUAGUUAUUUUGUUUGUAAUGAAAACACUUAAGUGAUUUUACGUUUUACUAUUUGUUUUUGUUUUUUACUUGAAUGCUUGUUUAUAUGUAAAAUGAAAAAAAGUAUCACACUAUAGACUUGUUUUUAUUCUUUAUUGCAUCAGUUAAUAUUUAUAACAAUAAAGAUAAAAAAAUAGCUAUUAUUAAUCUAGUAAUGAUUAUUAAGAAAUGAAGUGGGGGAAAAGAUAAUGUUGCUAGGUGAUUUUGCUUUGGAACCUUCAGAAAACUUUAAAUCAAUUUUUCUCUAAAUUUACUUUACUGACUCCAUCGACUUCAAACAGGUGAAGCUCAGUCAUUUUUCAUCAGAUUCCAACAAAUCAUACAUCACUUUGAAGGUAAUUUAAUGGAGAAUGUUGAAAUUGUGACUCAUUUUGCUUGCUCAUUGUGACUCAUUUUGCUAGCACAGAUCACAUAUAAAAGCCUGGUCAGUGGCAAAAAAGUAAUCAGAAUGCAGUAAUUUACAGUAUUUCUUUACUCACUGACACAUGAACUUUCCUUUUAUUUAACG